ACAUCCAGAGAACUUAGCAGAGAUGCUUUGGUGCCUUCGGGAACUCUGAGACAGGUGCUGCAUGGCUGUCGUCAGCUCGUGUUGUGAAAUGUUGGGUUAAGUCCCGCAACGAGCGCAACCCUUAUCCUUUGUUGCCAGCGGCUCGGCCGGGAACUCAAAGGAGACUGCCGGUGAUAAACCGGAGGAAGGUGGGGAUGACGUCAAGUCAUCAUGGCCCUUACGGCCAGGGCUACACACGUGCUACAAUGGCGCAUACAAAGAGAAGCGACCUCGCGAGAGCAAGCGGACCUCAUAAAGUGCGUCGUAGUCCGGAUUGGAGUCUGCAACUCGACUCCAUGAAGUCGGAAUCGCUAGUAAUCGUAGAUCAGAAUGCUACGGUGAAUACGUUCCCGGGCCUUGUACACACCGCCCGUCACACCAUGGGAGUGGGUUGCAAAAGAAGUAGGUAGCUUAACCUUCGGGAGGGCGCUUACCACUUUGUGAUUCAUGACUGGGGUGAAGUCGUAACAAGGUAGGCGUACUACA
rnacentral:rRNA from 1 species